UACGGGGGGAGCAAGCGUUGUUCGGAUUUACUGGGCGUAAAGGGCGCGUAGGCGGUCAGCACAAGUCAGUUGUGAAAUCUCCGAGCUUAACUCGGAAAGGUCAACUGAUACUGUGCGACUAGAGUGCAGAAGGGGCAACUGGAAUUCUCGGUGUAGCGGUGAAAUGCGUAGAUAUCGAGAGGAACACCUGCGGCGAAGGCGGGUUGCUGGGCUGACACUGACGCUGAUGCGCGAAAGCUAGGGGAGCGAACGGG
rnacentral:rRNA from 1 species